CAGAACCUGUAUCCGCCCAUGUACAAUCAGAGCCACAUCUGUUAAAUGUGGAAAAUAUUGCUGCUUCUGAAGGGGCAUCAACGCGUCAAGUUGAUGCAAAUGUAUCCCCCCAAGCUGUUCACAGGCCAUCGAGUCCAGUUACAUCCAGCACACCUCCACCACACAAUACUUAUAACACAAUACCAGGAGUAUCAAGGGACAGAAUUGUUAAAAACAUCAGAAAUCUAACACCGAAAUGUAGACAAAUGUACCACAAAUGUCGAAACAUAAUUAAUUCCAAACGGCGGCUAUUGCGAUCUUUCGAAGAAAAUUUAGAAAGGGCCACUUUGAGCAAUAAGGAUUGCUUUAAACAAUUAAUUAAAAAUUUAACCCCUCAAGCAAAGUCAUUCUUGAUGAUGCAAGUCGAGCUUGCAAAUAAACCAAUAAAACAGAGGCGGUAUACACCU